GUCUCUUGAGAGUUAUUUUGCUCAUCUCAUCUACUGCUUUCAAAAGAUGACAUAUUUCACUAUUUUGAAAAGUAAAGGUUCAUUUCCUGUUUAUGGGCCUCAAUCUGUUGUUCAGGUUUGUUGCAAAGUCUUAUAUGGAUAUGCUUGAUCACUAAUAAUGCAGAUUUUUAAUUUCAUUUAGUUGUUUGGUAUUACAUGUUAUGCUUAUUUACAGUUGGUGUUCCUGUUUAACUUGCGGACUAUUAAUUGUUUUUUAAUGAUUCUCAGCACCAUGAUGCUGAUGCUUAUUUGCUUGUUGGCUUAUCUAUUAUCUAUAAUUCAAUGAAUAUCAAUUGUUAGGUUUAAGAACUUCUACGGAGGAAGCAUGCUAAAGAGGCAGUCGAGAAGGAACUUCAAGAGUUCGUGAAGUUACUAAAAUUUGGCAUGGAAAUGCCAUUGCAUUCAAAACUCCCAAAGUCUUCAUAAAAAUUGAGGAAGAAUCACAGUUGAAAAACUUACCAAGAAAAUUCUGAGGCUUUGGGAUCAUGUGAUUGAGCUCUUUUCCAUUCGUGAAGGUAUGACAUGCAACUAGAUUUUUGUACUGUAUGUUUCAUACCGAGCAUUGGGUAGGACAAUUGCAUAAUUUAAUGAAUAAAUUAAAAAUUCUUUUUUAUUCUACAGCACUAUCUAAUACUCCCCUACAACAUCCCAUCAUAGUUUCGGAAUCUGAGAGUUUGAAAUAUUCCUAUCAAUUUUAGCAGCUUAAAGACAAAUUGGAGAGACAUUCCUUAAUGAAACAAGAUAUACUAAGAUCCCAUCAAAUUAUUAGAUUGGUAUUUCUAUUUCUCAACUCUGUACUUAUUUCCUCUAAAACCUUCAUGUAACAAACCAUUACUAGCAUUUGUAUUCCAUUUAUUAACUAUAAUUUUGUUGUAAAAAAUUGAAAACUCCUAUCAAGGGGUCUUUCGAAAGGAUAAUUCGAGCAUUCUUCAAUGUGAGGGAGAAUCUGCAUGGAUGAUACCUUAAGAUUUUUGACAAGACUUCGGCCACCAAGUCCACUAGCAUAGUCCCCUCCAACGGCAUCUCAUGAUUCCUUUGUCUGUUCAAUUACUAUAUUAAUCUUGAUUACCAGUAAGUUUUUAUCAAAGAACUCCAACUUGACACUAAGGCACCUAUGCAAAUUACAUACAUGUAUACACCCGUCCCAAAAACAUUGUGUUGGCCACAUAAUUUUAUUUCUUGUCUAUUUUUACUAUGGUAUGUCCUUGUAGGUAUCAAUUUACCAAAAGCCGAAGCAAACCCAGAACUCUAAGAAUGAAAAUGGGCAGUCCCUAAAGAAGUCAUUGAGUAGGUAUUCUAAAAUGUCCCUUCAUUUCGCAUACAUUUCACAAAAGCUAAUCGGUGUACAGGAUGAUUUAUGGCAGGCUGUGGACUGCAAAAGGCCGAGUCCUUAUGAGUUAAACUCUCAUCUAUAGGUAAAAAGCUGAUUUAACCUUCUUGUUUUUUCUUUGCCAAACAAAAGUAAGUAUGCAUAUUGCAUGGCCUCGGCUCUUCACAGAGUGUAGCAUAUUCUCCCGCAAGCCCUUUAUGUUGCAGGUUUUACGUCUAAACUAUUAUACACUACACAAUCUCUUUUUCACAGUUCAAUGGAGUAUGUGGCCUAAAGCUAAUUUUGAAAUUUUUGUUUUGUUUUUUUUCAGCCCCCAUGGGACUUUUUUCAGCCCCCAUAGGACACGAAAACUGGAAAGAAGUUUAUCCUCUAUUUUACUUGUGGAUGUGACUAUAGCAUGAAGGUGAAAUUAUGUUUCUAUUUUGUACAUCAUUAUAAUAAGAAGUUCAUCUUAUGUUACUCUUGUGGACAUUUCAUUUUCAUUUUUUUGAAUUGCAAAGAAUUUCAUACUUCUUCUUUACCCCGUAAUGUGGACUAAUUUUGUUCAGAACUUGUCGGGCUGUUGAUGUUCAAGUUGAACUAACAUAUGGAAAAUUUGGAAAAUGGUGAUUUGAUAAGAGAUCAUACCUUGAUGGACCCACCUCAAAAUCUUUUCUUACCCCCUUCUCGUGUUUCUAAGAGUGUUGUACGUGCUGCACCUUUAUAUUCUUCGUACAUUAUUCAAUUCGUUCGGUUCUACAUCUAUUUGUUUAUUAAUUAAAUCAUAUUUACUAGAUCUUUAAAUUGGGAGGUAUAUAAUAGGAAAUUUUCCUUAUUCUUCUUAAAGAAUGGGUGAACUUCUUAGCAUGAAAUGCGCAUAUACUUUUGCACUAAUUUCUUAAUGUCAUUUCAUUCUUCGGGAUGUACAAAUCCACCUUUUCCUCUUUGCUUAGGAAGUUUACGCCAUGUGUUCCAAUCUGGUGCCAAUAUGAUAUGUUUAAGGAUUAUAUUAGUACUUGAUAAUAAAAAUUCUAGACUUUAUUCUGCCGGAAUGUAAAAGAAUCCUUGGGAGGCUCGGAAGGAAAAAUGUUGNGUGUGUGAGAUGAGAAUUGAACGGUAAAAUUAAAGCAAAGCGACAAUGUUUUGCUCCUAAUAGCAAAGGCAAAAAUAUGAAAAAUAAACGAAAAUGGAAUGGAUCACUGUUAUAGCAAUGGUAAACUUCACAUUAAUAGAGCAUCAUCAAGGAAAAAAGGGAAAUAAAAAGAAAAGGUGAGUAAUAAUGGAUGGCUUCUCAUCUGACGAAGAUAUGGAGGUAGGUGAUCAACCACAAAUCCUGUGCAUUUAAUAAUUUGUUUAUGCAGGCUGAUAAAAUUGAAAGUUUGCUGAAAUCAUCCAACAACUGAUAAGUAAUGUAUUAGUUUUGAUACUCUUUUAACAAUUUCCAAGAUUUGCAAGUCAUGUUCUUUAUCAUGUUUUAUUUAUAGAAGCAAGGUGAUCUAAAGCUUCAUGUAUGAGCUUUGGAGUCUGAAAGAGCUUUCCAACAUGUUGCAUCUAUUCAAAGUACAGUUGGAUGUGUAAGGCAGCUUCAUAUCUAGUUAGAAGUCGACCCAACAAGGCCUUUUCCAUACCUGUCUAGCAAUUAAUAUCAAUGCCAUCUUUCUCUUCUUUAUUUAUGUUUUGUCAAACUGCAAUUUUUUGAGCUUAACUUCUGUCUAAAUUAUUUUCAUUUCUUUGUGCUUUCUUCUGUUGUUAGAUGAGAGGGAAAGCAUAAAACUUGUAUUAUUUGCCUUCUUUUUCCAGCAACUUGAUUUCCUUAUUCUACAUGUAAAAUAAUUCCUUAUUUUCAUGUUCUCAUGUAAAAAUUCG
rnacentral:lncRNA from 1 species